rnacentral:rRNA from 1 species
UACAGAGGGGGCUAGCGUUGUUCGGAAUUACUGGGCGUAAAGGGCGCGUAGGCGGCCCGCUAAGUCGAACGUGAAAUCCCCGGGCUCAACCCGGGAACUGCGUCCGAUACUGGCAGGCUUGAAUCCGGGAGAGGGAUGUGGAAUUCCAGGUGUAGCGGUGAAAUGCGUAGAUAUCCAGCGGAACACCAGUGGCGAAGGCGGCCUACUGGGCUCCACCUGACACUGAGGCGCGAAAGCGUGGGGAGCGAACAGG